rnacentral:rRNA from 1 species
AGGGCACCACCAGGAGUGGAGCCUGCGGCUUAAUUUGACUCAACACGGGAAAUCUUACCAGGCCCGGACACUGGAAGGAUUGACAGAUUGAGAGCUCUUUCUUGAUUCGGUGGGUGGUGGUGCAUGGCCGUUCUUAGUUGGUGGAGCGAUUUGUCUGGUUAAUUCCGAUAACGAACGAGACUCUGGCCUACUAAAUAGACGUUAGAUCCCUUUGUGGGUCUAUCGCAGCUUCUUAGAGGGACGGGCGGCGUUCAGCCGCACGAGAUUGAGCAAUAACAGGUCUGUGAUGCCCUUAGAUGUUCUGGGCUGCACGCGCGCUACACUGAAGGAAUCAGCGUGUGUUCCCUGCCCGAAAGGACUGGGAAACCCGUUGAACCUCCUUCGUGAUGGGGAUUGGGGAUUGCAAUUAUUCCCCAUGAACGAGGAAUUCCCAGUAGGCGCGAGUCAUAAGCUUGCGUCGAUUACGUCCCUGCCCUUUGUACACACCGCCCGUCGCUACUACCGAUCGAGUGAUUUAGU